GUGGUUUCAGUUGCCUGAGACUGCAGUCAUGUGUGUGAGUUGUGUUUGCAUGAGUGAGUGUGUGCGUAUGUGUGUCUAGGAUUGAUGAAGGCCUUAAUGGCCAAAAACUUUAUUGUGAGAGUCUUUUUGUUAUGCCUAUCUACAACUCAGCAUCUCUGCUAUAUGUUUUCUGUAUUCAAAACAAAAAAAUUGUCUUCCAUACAUGAGGAGGCCCUUACUUUGUCUGGAACCAGUCAAAAUGGUCAUACUCCUUUCCUCAGAUCUACAUUUACACCUUCACUUGACAAGGUCUGUUCCAUUCAUGAAUGGCACAUGAGAAGAUGAUUUUUGAACAUGCACUGUCAGAAUUUCAAUGGCAAACCUCUCCUUGAUGUACAACAAGCCUCCUCUGUCUGACACUGGAGUUAGCAGAGCAUCUCUGUAAUGCUCUCAUGCCAACUUAACAAUCUUCUGAUGAUAUACACCACUCUUCAUUGCAUCUGGUCAAUCUCUUCGAUUAAUUGAACCUGUUGCUUGCAUACGGGCUGUCCAUGUGGAUGGGCUUGCAAACUGACCAUACCUGCUGUCAACGACAAAAUUCAACAGUCCACUGGUAGAACUGGCAAAUCAUAAGAGGUCAAGCCAGACAAGACAGAAAAGAGAACACUGCCCAAAUAAACAAAAGGCAGUCUGACUUUUGCAGAAUGUGGGCGGAAACAACCAAAAGAAGUAGUACUAUAGCUGUGAUGACAGAUCCACAGAGUUUGGUUGUGUAAGGAUGUAAGUGGGGGAAAUGCUAAGCAAAACACUGAUAGCAGUGAGUGAACACUGAUUUUAUAUUGUGUAAAUUAUAAU